AAUCUUCGGCAAUGGGCGAAAAGCCUGACCGAGCGACGCCGCGUGGGGGAAGAAGGUUUUCGGAUCGUAAACCCCUGUCCUUGGGGACGAAGGUGACGGUACCCAAGGAGGAAGCCCCGGCUAACUACGUGCCAGCAGCCGCGGUAAUACGUAGGGGGCGAGCGUUGUCCGGAAUCACUGGGCGUAAAGGGUGCGUAGGCGGCUAUUUAAGUCCUGUGUGAAAGGCUCCGGCUCAACCGGGGAGUUGCAUGGGAAACUGGGUGGCUUGAGUGCUGGAGAGGGUUGCGGAAUUCCCGGCGUAGCGGUGGAAUGCGUAGAUAUUGGGAGGAACACCAGUGGCGAAGGCGACUACCUGGACGAAAACUGACGCUGAGGCACGAAAGCUAGGGGAGCAAAC
rnacentral:rRNA from 1 species